rnacentral:rRNA from 1 species
CAAGAGCAUCGCAGCGUAGCUAAGUUUGGAAAGGAUAAACGCUGAAAGCAUCUAAGCGUGAAGCCAACUCUAAGAUGAAUCUUCUCUAAGCUCUCUAGAAGACUACUAGUUUGAUAGGCUGGGUGUGUAAUGGAUGAAAGUCCUUUAGCUGACCAGUACUAAUAGAGCGUUUGGCUUAUCUUUAAUAAAGCAU